GAAAAGAAAGAAGUAGAGGUCAAGAGAGCCUCCCCUCCCCACCAUUCCCAGAAAAGGAGGAAGGGGCUGAUGGACUCUCUGGGAACCCCCUCCCCUCCCUGCGCCCCGUCAUCAAGAAGAAAAUUCGAAGAAAAGGUUUAGCAGGGACAGAGAAGCGACCUGUCCCGGAAACCCCUUAAAGCCUGCGGGUAACAUGUUUGCUCCCUCCUCCCCCACUCGGACUAUAGAAGUAUCACCAAUCCACUGCAGAGAAAUUGGGAAAAUUCAGAAAAACAAAAAAUAAAAAGAAAUCCACCUCCCAUUCUCCCUGCCCUCCGCGCCCACGCGGUAGUCCGUGCUCUGUGGGGGGCUCCAGGGCAGCUGGUCCAGGCCCUGGCCUGCCGCCUCCUUGGAGGGGAGGUUUUUCGGUUGCUCAGCUCCCUGAUCGCCCAAAGGCACGCUUCCUACAUGGGUGGCUCUCUCGGAAAUACCUCCUGCCUUUUUUCCCCAGGAAGAGAAAAGUGAGCCACGAGAAUGUGCGGAAGCUUCCGUCACUGACUUAGUAUUUUAAAGUAAAAAUAGCCGGGUGCGGAGGCUUACGCCUGUAAUCCCACCACUUUGGGAGACCAAGGCGGGAGGAUCGCUUGAGCCCAGGAAUUGGAAACCAGCCUGAGUAACAUAGGGAGGCCCCAUCUCUACAAAAAAUUUAAAAAUUAGCUGGAUGUGGUGUCGCGUGCUUGUGGACCCAAAUACUCCCGAGGCUGAAGUAGGAGGAUCACUUGAGCUCAGGAGGUCGAGGCUGUAGGAAACCGUAUCGCGCCACUACACUCCAGCCUGGACGACAGAGUGAGACGCUGUCUCAAAAAAUUAAUUACUUAAUUUAAAUUUAAAAAGAAUGCAAGCCCUUGAUUGUCCAGAGCAGCAUUGGGCUCUGGAAUUAGAAAUGGUUGAGCUGGGGGAGGGGCUGCGGGAUUGGGGUAUUUUCUUUGUGUCAGGGGAGACAGAGCUGGUGGGAGAACGGGCUAGGCUUCCAGGCCGGUCCCACUCAGAGGAAAGUCCAGAGGCUUCCCUGCAUCCCUACCCUAUCGUCUACACUAGACAAAUAAAAAUAAAAAUGUGGCCAGGUGCGGUGGUUUAUGCCUGUAAUACCAGCACUUUGGGAGGCCGAGUCAGGAGGAUCACUCCUUGACCUUGAGGUCAGGAGUUCGAGACCAGCCUGGCCAACAUGGUGAAACCCCAUCUCUGCUAAAAAUACAAAAAUUAGCCCGGUGUGGUGGUGCCUGUCCCAGGAGGCUGCUCAGGAGGCCCAGGCAUGAGAAUCGCAUGAACCAGGGAGGCGGAGGUUGCAGUGAGCUGAGAUCACCGGCACCACUGCACGCCAGCCUAGGUGCUAGAGGGAGACUCUGUCUCAAGAAAAAAAAAAAAAAGUAUCCCAGAUACGGGUCCAGGGACGACUUCUCGGGGAAGAAGACACUAACUUAAAACCCAGUGUGGGGGCCAGGUGUGGUGGCUCAUGCCUGUAAUCCCAGCACUUUGGGAGGCCGAGGUGGGUGGAUCACCUGAGGUCAGAAGUUCAAGACCAGCGUGGUCAACAUGGUGAAACCCCAUUUCUACUAAAUAUUAGCCGGGCAUGGUGGCGGUCGCCUGUAAUCCCUGCUACUUGGGAGGCUGAGGCAGGAGAAUCGCUUGAACCCGGGAGGCAGAGGUUGCAGUGAGCCAAGAUCACGCCAUUGUCCUCCAGCCUGGGCAACAAGAGCGAAACUUUGUCUAAAACAAAAAUAAAAACAAAAAUCUAAUGGGUGAGGCUGGGGGCUGAGAGAGAAGCAUUCCAGGUAGUGGGAACAGCUUGUUUGAAGGCCCUGUGGUGGGACCAGGCUUGCAGUGUGGCCAGAGCAGAUGCAGUCAGUAAGAGGAGAGGGACAAAUGCCUUUGGCUCAAACUGAAGGAGAACAUAUGAAUAUUCAUUUAUAAGAAAUAUGAAUAUUCUAGGGCUGGGUGCAGUGGCUCAUGCCUGUAAUCCCAGCACUUUGGGAGGCCGAGGCAGGCGGAUCAUGAGGUCAGGAGUUCAAGACCAGCCUGGCCAACAUGGUGAAAACCCAGUCUCUACUAAAAAUACAAAAAUUAGCUGGGCAUGGUGGUGGGCACCUGUAAUCCCAGCUACUCAGGAGACUGAGGCAGGAGAAUCGUUUGAACCCAGGAGGCGGAGGUUGCAGUUAGCCAAGAUCACACCAUUGCACUCCCGCCUGGGCGACAAGGCGAGACGCAAAGAAAGAAAGAAAGAGAAAGGGAAAAGGAAAGAAAAGAAAGACAGAGAAAGAAAGAAAAGAAAAGAAAGAAAAA
rnacentral:lncRNA from 1 species